UACGGAGGUGGCAAGCGUUGUUCGGAAUUACUGGGCGUAAAGGGCGCGUAGGCGGUCUUGUAAGUCUUGUGUGAAAUCCCUCGGCUUAACUGAGGAACUGCACGGGAUACUGCAUGACUUGAGAUCGGGAGAGGGAAGCGGAAUUCCGGGUGUAGCGGUGAAAUGCGUAGAUAUCCGGAGGAACACCGGUGGCGAAGGCGGCUUCCUGGACCGACACUGACGCUGAGGCGCGAAAGCUAGGGGAGCAAACGGG
rnacentral:rRNA from 1 species